UACGGGGGGAGCAAGCGUUGUUCGGAUUUACUGGGCGUAAAGGGCGCGUAGGCGGCCACCGCAGGUCGACUGUGAAAUCUCCGGGCUUAACCCGGAAAGGUCAGCCGAUACUGCGGGGCUAGAGUGCAGAAGGGGCAACUGGAAUUCUCGGUGUAGCGGUGAAAUGCGUAGAUAUCAGGAGGAACACCGGUGGCGAAGGCGGCUACCUGGACAGAGUCUGACGCUGAGGCACGAAAGCUAGGGGAGCAAACAGG
rnacentral:rRNA from 1 species